rnacentral:rRNA from 1 species
UGGGGAAUAUUGGACAAUGGGCGCAAGCCUGAUCCAGCCAUGCCGCGUGUGUGAAGAAGGCCUUUUGGUUGUAAAGCACUUUACGCGAGGAGGAGGCUACUUGGAUUAAUACUCUAGGAUAGUGGACGUUACUCGCAGAAUAAGCACCGGCUAACUCUGUGCCAGCAGCCGCGGUAAUACAGAGGGUGCGAGCGUUAAUCGGAUUUACUGGGCGUAAAGCGUGCGUAGGCGGCUUUUUAAGUCGGAUGUGAAAUCCCUGAGCUUAACUUAGGAAUUGCAUUCGAUACUGGGAAGCUAGAGUAUGGGAGAGGAUGGUAGAAUUCCAGGUGUAGCGGUGAAAUGCGUAGAGAUCUGGAGGAAUACCGAUGGCGAAGGCAGCCAUCUGGCCUAAUACUGACGCUGAGGUACGAAAGCAUGGGGAGCAAACAGG